rnacentral:rRNA from 1 species
UACGGAGGGUGCGAGCGUUAUCCGGAAUUACUGGGUUUAAAGGGUGCGUAGGCGGCUAUGUAAGUCAGAUAGUGAAAGUUUGCGGCUCAACCGUAAAAUUGCUUUUGAUACUGCAUGGCUAGAAUCAGGAUGAGGUCAGCGGAAUGUGGCAUGUAGCGGUGAAAUGCAUAGAUAUGCCAUAGAACACCAAUUGCGAAGGCAGCUGGCUAGACCUGUAUUGACGCUGAUGCACGAAAGCGUGGGGAUCGAACAGG